UCCGGAGGGCGCAAGCGUUAUCCGGAAUCACUGGGUUUAAAGGGUGCGUAGGCGGCUAAAUAAGUCAGAGGUGAAAGCUUGCAGCUUAACUGCGAAAUUGCCUUUGAUACUGUAUAGCUUGAAAGGAGCUGAGGUCAGCAGAAUGUGGCAUGUAGCGGUGAAAUGCAUAGAUAUGCCAUAGAAUACCAAUUGCGAAGGCAGCUGGCUGGGCUUACUUUGACGCUGAGGCACGAAAGCGUGGGGAUAGAACAGG
rnacentral:rRNA from 1 species